GAACGAUUCUCCGCCAUUACAAUAUUCUUCGAUAGAUUUCGAUUCGAUUAUUGGCGCUGACGUCGCGAUCAAUCGUAACUUAUCGUUUGAUUCGAUUAUCGCAACGAAUACGAUCAGUGCUCGACAUGAUCUUCACAGUGAAGUAAAAAAAUUUACAUUCGUGACAUGUGAGUGGGAAUAUUAUAGAGAAAAUAAAUGGAAAGAGGUCAAGAACAUUUUGAAAUUUCUUCAAAUUUCUCCAAUCUGAAACAAAACUUCCACGAGCUUUGGUAGAAAAAGUUACUUCAUUACAAGAAUCAACGAAUUAUAUCUGUCGAUAUCAGAGCGGAAGCUUCAACUUCCAGGUUCCGGCUUAUAGACUCGACUUAAACGACGUUAUAAUUGUGAAACGAGACGACGACGACGACGACGAGGAAUGGACGAACGAAAUCCAAUUACGCGGCGCCCAAGGUCGAACAAAUUCAAUCCCGAGGGAAAAACCGGUAGUUAAGAUUCCGAAACGGUAAUUGUCGAUGCUCGAGGUGAAACGUUGGGGAAAUGUAAUUCAAUUCUUUGUCUCGUUCGAGACGAAAGUAGUCAUUCGAGUCAUUGGAGAAGAAGAAUCAAUCGUAUCAUUUAUUUGUUUUUAUCGAUUUAUCGUAAUUUUCGUAGAAAUAUUUAUUAUUCAAGUAUUAAUUCAAUCGUACAUACAUACAUGUAUAAUUUAAUAUUCGUUUUGAUCCAGUUUAUUAUCAUAUCAUAUCGUAAACGUGUUUGGAUAAAUCGAAUACGAAAAUCAGAAAAAAAAGAUAUCGUUGAAAAGAAUUUCAACGAAUAAUACACUUACAUUUCUCCUGUAAUUAUUCAAACUUGUUAUUAAUUGAACACAAGCAAAUCAAAUUUAUCUUAAUUUUCAAUCGAUCGAUCUCAUUGCAAUCUUUCUUAUU